rnacentral:lncRNA from 1 species
CUGCCAGCGCCUGGCUCGCCAGGAAGAGGUUCUUAAGAUAUUACGGUACCUACAGGGUUUCCCGGCCUCCGAGUGCCUCCUCUUCCACAGCCUCCCUCCGCCCAGCCCGCCCAAGUGCCGCUCUCAGGGGCGGAACGAUCGUCUCCUAAAAGCUUUGGGGGCUCGCUAAGGAGGAAAGAUGAUUCCUGAAACAUGACGAACACAUCCACAAAAUGGGAGCGAAAUACAUGGCUUGCCAAGCAGUGCCACGUCCGCACCUGGGAUCUGCACCAGGGAUCCGAACCAGCAAACCCCGGGCCUCUGAGAAGCAGAACGUGCAAACUUAACCACUGCGCCACCGGGC